ACACUGAUACUGAUAACGUUAGUAACACACCUUGCCCGCUUUCAAUAGCUCUGGAAUAGCUUAGGCAAUAUUAUUCAUUGAGCUGCGUAAAAAGUGCAUGUGAAUAUAUUGUUAUAAUGUCGUCAAAACGGAGUUUCACUCGGUUUAUGGUGGUGAUUUGCAUAUUGGUUGCAAGUCUUAUUCAAGCAACAGAGGCAAGGAGGAAAAUACUGAAAGGCAGAAAAACUAUCACAAGGGAGUACUAUAAGGACCCAUUUCUACCAGCCUGGCUAUCUGUGACCUUGCUUUGCUCGAGCUUCCUGCUUGUUGGGGGACUGCUCUACCUGGCCAUGAGGAAAUUCGUCAUAGUCAGUCCAUCAACUAUGGUCUAUGCUGCUGAUGAAGUCUAGUAUUAUAAAUCCACAAAGGACAGAACCGCAUUUAUCAUUAUAAGGAUCAAGAUAAAGAGUUUAAAUAUUACAAGUGCAUUAAGUUAGGUAAAAGUGUCAAAGAAGUUAUCAACUUUGAUGGAAGAGUCCAUAUUUGAAAAACUCUACAAAACCAAUACUGAAUUACGUUUCAACUUCAAAUAAUGAAGCCGCAUUAUUAAGAAAUAAUACAUAGAAAACCAUCGGUGGAAAAAUGAAGUGCAUUUAUUUAGUUUAUAGUGAAGGUAAAUAGAUAGAGGGUCAUUGAUAUAAACUUUCAGCAGGUAAGGAGCUACACAACUGCAGUAUCUUGAAACAUUUGAAUUUUCUUUAUCUUUAAAUCAAAGAAUGGAGAGUUUUUAUUACUGAAUUUUUUCUUUAUAAUCUUAUACAUAUUUAAAUAUUACAGGUGAUAAAGUUAAAAUGUAAUGUAGUUUAUUUUGAAGUUAAAGUUUUUAUAAGUUUUAUGUGAUAGCCUACAUCUAAUCUAAAAUACUUGAAUUAAAAUCCGUUUGUAUUUUUCUAAUAAAAUAUACAUUAUUUUACAUUCAACCACUUUUAAUUAUUGCUUGGAAUUUUUUAAUCAACUCAAUUUGUACUAAUCAAUUGUAGUAAAAUAACUGCUGUUUUUUAUAACUGAAAACAGAAACUACUGUUUUGUUAGGCUGGCCACACACCGAUUAGUCAAGACAAUACUAGUCACGUUUAGUCACAAUACUUCACAUUGCUGCUUAUGACGCAACACACACUUAUUAGUCAUUGCAAUUGGACAUGACUCCAUAAGCAACUAUGUAAAGUAUUGUGACUAAACGUGACUAGUCUUGCCUUGACUGAUCGGUGUGUGACCAGCCUUAGAUUGUGGUCAAACGAAGCCGAGGUUUCACUUCUAUAUCAGUAUGUUGAAGUAUCCCCAACAGACAGACGGAGAAUUUCCUCUGUCUGCAUGCGUCCGUCUGUUACUGUGUUAUCUGCCUUUACUAUUCUACAGGGCAGUUCCAAUGCUUCUAUUUUUCAUAGGUUUAAAUAAUUGAAUGGAAACAGAAUGAUUCCAAAUUAUAAACAUUUGAUUAUGAAAUGAUAGAAAUGUUGUGUCAGUGAGUACCUACAUAACACAUGUUUGAUAAGAUCAUUUUUUCAUAUUAAUAGACUUUGAAAUUCAUCAUUCUGAUGCAUGAGAGUUUAACAAAUUCUUCCAAACUUUGAACAAACCAAACUUUAAACUGUCGAAUUGUUAAAAAAUAGUUUAUACUGCACAUCCAGCAAUAAAAACAAAAUUAAGUUGACAUUUUAAAAAUAUUUUAAAUGCUUUCAGUUCUGAAAAAUUAUAUGCAAAGAGAAGAAUACGGUGGUUAUUCUCAUGUUGUGAGUAGUAAAACAAGGAGAA